GAUGAACGCUGGCGGCGUGCCUAAUACAUGCAAGUCGAACGCACAGCGAAAGGUGCUUGCCCCUUUCAAGUGAGUGGCGAACGGGUGAGUAACACGUGGACAACCUGCCUCAAGGCUGGGGAUAACAUUUGGAAACAGAUGCUAAUACCGAAUAAAACUUAGUGUCGCAUGACACAAAGUUAAAAGGCGCUUCGGCGUCACCUAGAGAUGGAUCCGCGGUGCAUUAGUUAGUUGGUGGGGUAAAGGCCUACCAAGACAAUGAUGCAUAGCCGAGUUGAGAGACUGAUCGGCCACAUUGGGACUGAGACACGGCCCAAACUCCUACGGGAGGCUGCAGUAGGGAAUCUUCCACAAUGGGCGAAAGCCUGAUGGAGCAACGCCGCGUGUGUGAUGAAGGCGUUCGGGUCGUAAAGCACUGUUGUAUGGGAAGAACAGCUAGAAUAGGAAAUGAUUUUAGUUUGACGGUACCAUACCAGAAAGGGACGGCUAAAUACGUG
rnacentral:rRNA from 1 species